rnacentral:rRNA from 1 species
AUACGUAGGGGGCGAGCGUUGUCCGGAAUGAUUGGGCGUAAAGGGCGCGUAGGCGGCCCGGUAAGUCUGGAGUGAAAGUCCUGCUUUUAAGGUGGGAAUUGCUUUGGAUACUGUCGGGCUUGAGUGCAGGAGAGGUAAGUGGAAUUCCCAGUGUAGCGGUGAAAUGCGUAGAGAUUGGGAGGAACACCAGUGGCGAAGGCGACUUACUGGACUGUAACUGACGCUGAGGCGCGAAAGUGUGGGGAGCAAACAGGAUUAGAUACCCUGGUAGUCCACACUGUAAACGAUGAAUGCUAGGUGUAGGGGGUAUCGACCCCUUCUGUGCCGCAGUAAACACAAUAAGCAUUCCGCCUGGGGAGUACGGCCGCAAGGUUGAAACUCAAAUGAAUUGACGGGG